GUAGGUGACCUGCGGAGGUCAUUAUUG
rnacentral:rRNA from 1 species